CAUCCUCAAAUGCUUAAUGUAGCAUCCCACAGAAUCUAGUAUGUUGCCACACAAAUCACGAGAGAAAAAGAAGACCUCUCCAUUUUGACAGACAGGAAUAUUUUAAUUAUAUGACAACACAAAAGUAAAUACUACACGCUAAUCAUAACUGCUAGCAUAUUCCACAUUCUUAUAAACCACACGUAAUGUGGCAAGUACACAAAACAGAUAAAUUAGCUAUGUAGUUCCAUAGACACAUUUAUGCUAGAUACAGACUAAAAACAUUUUAUUUUACACAGUUGAUGCCUAGGGGAUGAGAAGUUAAAGGAACACCAUAGUGUCAGGAAUACAAAUGUAGUCCUGACACUAUAAUGCUGGUGUUGCCAUUUACCCAGCCCGCCUGUCCAGUGAAAAAGUGUAUAAACUCACCUUUAAUCCCAUGUCACGUAGUUCUCACCACAGCUGGUCAGGGUGAAAAGCUAUUGCACAUGCGUGGUAAAAUGCUGUACAAUGCCAAUCAUCAUCUCCUUAGAAAUUAAUGCAUCUCUAUGGAAAACGUUCAUGCAAUGCUUUGAGACUUUGAACGCCAGCACCGAUAUAGGAAGCACCUCUAGUGGCCAUCUGAGUGACUGCCACUAGAGAUGUCACUAGGCACCAACGUAAACACUGCCUUUUCUCUUAAAAUGUAAUGUUUACAUUGACAUGCCUGCAGGCUAUAGACACCCGAAUCACAACAUUAAGCUGUAGUGGUUCUGGUGACUAUAGUAUCCCUUUAAAGUUUAAGAUAACCAUCAGUCUAGUUUAAAAUGAUCAAACUAGGGGGGCGGGGCCGGGCGGCCAUGCAAGCAGGCUGCAAGACACCAUGGCUCCUGAGGAAUUCAACUAAAAAUGGGCACAUACCCACUUUACUCAGCAUGGAUCACCCUGGAAGUUCAUGGUACGGGGUCCUGGAGUGUCCCGGUGCAGCUGGAGCACCUGAUUUCGGGUGAAUCUGGGUCCUGGUGAGAUGCUCCGGGGCUUGGAAUCUGAGGCCUAUCCGGGAGGGGAGUGGGGCGGACGGCCGCUGCCUCACUCUCUGAUCCGGCUAAUGAACAGCACAAUUGUGGCUGCCCCGGCACCGUUCACCCCCCCUCUGGACCGGCGGGGGUUAUCCCGGUCCCCACCAGGCACAUAAAUACCUGCAGUGCCCCUGGGCGACUCAACGCCGACAACUAAAGGCUACCACGCGGACCCAACAAAAUGGCCGACAGUGACGCAUUUAGCUAACAGGCCAUCAGAGAAGAACCUCGCAUGGCGCGCUGAACCUCACAACACACAGCGAGAGUCAUGACAGCCUCUGGAGUUAUUCUGCAAUGGCAACCCCCCAGCAGCAGGCGUGUGCCUACCCCAACUGUGCACACCCCACCGGAGCUCCCUAUAACUAAGACCACAGACCAACACUGAGUGAGUACCCGGAAAGAUCAUCCACACACAACAACUCCAUCACUCCGCUACCCGCACCUGGACACUGUAGCCAAUAAAGCACCACACCCGUACUCACUUACCGACCGGGUGGUGGGAACACGGCGAUGCAUGGACACUUUGCCCUGCAGCGGGUGCUCGGGACUCAAAGGACUCUGGGGUGCCUGUGCCGGAAAGCGGGAUCCCUACUGGAGCCAUUCCUGAAGCCGACAGCUGCCGCAUGACGGAAGGCGACUAAGGCGCACACCACAGGACUCAUCACCGACAGCCUUAACAGAAGACACCCUGGCUGUAGUAACCACUAAACUGACUUAUCUGCUGCCAACAGUUGAGGUUACAGUACAUGUUGGUUUCGACACCUUGCUUAUCGCUGUCAAUAACCCAGUAAGCCACAGUCUGCCUGGUGGUACAUUACCUAAGCGAGUACCUUAACUAAGCUAUUCUUCUAUAAAAGCGCCCGUAUACACAUCAGUAAUCUAUACACUUAAAUAAGUGCGCAUUCAGUCUCUGGUCCCCAGCAGACCCCUAGCGUAAUCCCUUAGAAUGAGCGAUGAUUGUACUUAAAUAUUAGCAACAUGAUUUAAAGAGCCCAAGUAUACUAAUAUCUAUUCUUAAAGCGAGCCAGGUAAUCACUGUGCGUACCCUGCUUUGCCAACACUUAUGAGCUCUCUCCACUGUGACACCUAUUGAACCUGUUAAUUAAAACCCAAACUGUGCAGUGAAACAGACAUAUGUUAAUGUUAUGCUCUCUCAUGAUCAAUGUCUAUGUACAUCUGUAAACCUUGCAAUGCACAACAAAAAUAAAGAAUUAUAAAAAAAAAAAAAAAUGAUCAAACUAGAGAUAUUUUCAGCUAUCAAUUGUACCACUAGAAUUGCUAGCUAAUGUAUAGAUUCUUCAAACAAACUCAUACAAAGUUAUGGUUCUUUCCUUCGCUCACCAAUACAUUCUCACCAUAGAGAGGUAUUUGAACAGUUGAGUGAAAGGACAGAGCAGGAGAACAUGCCUACUCCCAUUUUGUCUGCAUUCCUUUAAAAGGUUUAGUCUAAUUUAUUUUGCUACAUCUAAUGUUCAUAAAACCAGCAGAAACUAUUUCAGGCGUGAGCUCGUCCUCUAAGGUUUUAAUGGAUAUUCCUGAUGUUUCAGGGGCAUAAUCCUAAUCAGUCUGUAAUCAGAUAAAAAAAUAAAAAAUUAUAUUAU